CAACAGGAAGCAGCUUGCUGCUUCGCUGACGAGUGGCGGACGGGUGAGUAAUGUCUGGGAAGCUGCCUGAUGGAGGGGGAUAACUACUGGAAACGGUAGCUAAUACCGCAUAAUGUCGCAAGACCAAAGAGGGGGACCUUCGGGCCUCUUGCCAUCGGAUGUGCCCAGAUGGGAUUAGCUUGUUGGUGGGGUAACGGCUCACCAAGGCGACGAUCCCUAGCUGGUCUGAGAGGAUGACCAGCCACACUGGAACUGAGACACGGUCCAGACUCCUACGGGAGGCAGCAGUGGGGAAUAUUGCACAAUGGGCGCAAGCCUGAUGCAGCCAUGCCGCGUGUAUGAAGAAGGCCUUCGGGUUGUAAAGUACUUUCAGCGGGGAGGAAGGGAGUAAAGUUAAUACCUUUGCUCAUUGACGUUACCCGCAGAAGAAGCACCGGCUAACUCCGUGCCAGCAGCCGCGGUAAUACGGAGGGUGCAAGCGUUAAUCGGAAUUACUGGGCGUAAAGCGCACGCAGGCGGUUUGUUAAGUCAGAUGUGAAAUCCCCGGGCUCAACCUGGGAACUGCAUCUGAUACUGGCAAGCUUGAGUCUCGUAGAGGGGGGUAGAAUUCCAGGUGUAGCGGUGAAAUGCGUAGAGAUCUGGAGGAAUACCGGUGGCGAAGGCGGCCCCCUGGACGAAGACUGACGCUCAGGUGCGAAAGCGUGGGGAGCAAACAGGAUUAGAUACCCUGGUAGUCCACGCCGUAAACGAUGUCGACUUGGAGGUUGUGCCCUUGAGGCGUGGCUUCCGGAGCUAACGCGUUAAGUCGACCGCCUGGGGAGUACGGCCGCAAGGUUAAAACUCAAAUGAAUUGACGGGGGCCCGCACAAGCGGUGGAGCAUGUGGUUUAAUUCGAUGCAACGCGAAGAACCUUACCUGGUCUUGACAUCCACGGAAGUUUUCAGAGAUGAGAAUGUGCCUUCGGGAACCGUGAGACAGGUGCUGCAUGGCUGUCGUCAGCUCGUGUUGUGAAAUGUUGGGUUAAGUCCCGCAACGAGCGCAACCCUUAUCCUUUGUUGCCAGCGGUCCGGCCGGGAACUCAAAGGAGACUGCCAGUGAUAAACUGGAGGAAGGUGGGGAUGACGUCAAGUCAUCAUGGCCCUUACGACCAGGGCUACACACGUGCUACAAUGGCGCAUACAAAGAGAAGCGACCUCGCGAGAGCAAGCGGACCUCAUAAAGUGCGUCGUAGUCCGGAUUGGAGUCUGCAACUCGACUCCAUGAAGUCGGAAUCGCUAGUAAUCGUGGAUCAGAAUGCCACGGUGAAUACGUUCCCGGGCCUUGUACACACCGCCCGUCACACCAUGGGAGUGGGUUGCAAAAGAAGUAGGUAGCUUAACCUUCGGGAGGGCGCUUACCACUUUGUGAUUCAUGACUGGGGUGAAGUCGUAACAAGGUAACCGUAGGGGAACC
rnacentral:rRNA from 1 species